rnacentral:tRNA from 2 species
GCCGCUCUGGCGUAGAGGGUCUGCGCGCCUGGCUGAAGACCAGGAGGUCACCGUUCGAUCCAGUGGGGCGGCACCA